rnacentral:rRNA from 1 species
GACGAACGCUGGCGGCGUGCCUAAUACAUGCAAGUCGAACGCAGUGGGGACGGGUGAGUAACACGUGGGUAACCUCCCAUCAGAGGGGAUAACACUUGGAAACAGGUGCUAAACCGAUACUGAUGGAUGGAACCGCGGUGCAUUAGCUAGUUGGUGAGGUAACGGCUAACAACGGCCACGAUACAUAGGCGACCUGCAAGGGUGAACGGCCACACUGGGACUUAGACACGGCCCAGACUCCUACGGGAGGCAGCAGUAACGAAUCUUCGGCAAUGGACGAAAGUCUGACCGAGCAACGCCGCGUGAGUGAAUAAGGUUUUCGGAUCGUAAUACUCUGUUGUUAGAGAAGCGGUAUCUAACCAGAAAGCCACGGCUAACUACGUGCCAGCCGCCGCGGUAAUUC